UACGAAGGGGGCUAGCGUUGCUCGGAAUUAUUGGGCGUAAAGAGCUCGUAGGUGGCCUGUCGCGUCGGCUGUGAAAACUCGGGGCUCAACUCCGAGCUUGCAGUCGAUACGGGCAGGCUAGAGUUCGGCAGGGGAGACUGGAAUUCCUGGUGUAGCGGUGGAAUGCGCAGAUAUCAGGAGGAACACCGGUGGCGAAGGCGGUUCUCUGGGCAUGUCCUGACGCUGAGGAGCGAAAGUGUGGGGAGCGAACAGG
rnacentral:rRNA from 1 species